CUGUAAGCCGUUGAAGGUGGCCUGUGAGGGUUGCUGGAGGUAUCAGAAGUGCGAAUGCUGACAUAAGUAACGAUAAAGCGGGUGAAAAGCCCGCUCGCCGGAAGACCAAGGGUUCCUGUCCAACGUUAAUCGGGGCAGGGUGAGUCGACCCCUAAGGCGAGGCCGAAAGGCGUAGUCGAUGGGAAACAGGUUAAUAUUCCUGUACUCGGUGUUACUGCGAAGGGGGGACGGAGAAGGCUAUGUUAGCCGGGCGACGGUUGUC
rnacentral:rRNA from 1 species